CCUACGGGAGGCAGCAGUGGGGAAUUUUGCGCAAUGGGCGAAAGCCUGACGCAGCAACGCCGCGUGUGUGAUGAAGGUCUUCGGAUUGUAAAGCACUUUCGACCGGGACGCUGUACCGGGAGAAGAAGCACCGGCUAACUCUGUGCCAGCAGCCGCGGUAAUACAGAGGGUGCAAGCGUUGUUCGGAAUUAUUGGGCGUAAAGCGCGUGUAGGCGGCUUUGCAAGUCGGGUGUGAAAGCCCUCAGCUUAACUGAGGAAGUGCGCCCGAAACUGCAGAGCUUGAGUACCGGAGAGGGUGGCGGAAUUCCCCAAGUAGAGGUGAAAUUCGUAGAUAUGGGGAGGAACACCGGGGCGAAGGCGGCCACCUGGACGAACUGACGCUGAGACGCGAAAGCGUGGGUAGCAAACAGGAUUAGAUACCCUUGUAGUC
rnacentral:rRNA from 1 species